GGCUGGUCCUACCACCUUGGUGUUUACAACUCAUUGAUCACAACCAGUUACAGAUUUUUUCUUCCUUCUUUACCUGCAUUGCUUGACUAGCCUUAA
ensembl:misc_RNA Y_RNA Y RNA